CACUGAACCAUUUUUAGGAUGAAUAGAGAGAGAGAGGUCAGAGGCUGAUUGUGUUGCUGAUAGAGGUCGGCGAAGGCAGCGAGAUACGAAGCCUAUGCUUAAAUCUGAAGAAGAUGAAGCGGGAUAGUAAUUUCUAAGACGACGAAGGGCUGCACACGAUGAGAAAACAAAGGCUUCACUAAGCAUGGAAGAAGAAUGUUGGAAGAAGAGGCCACAGUAAUGAAGGACCUACCUGGUUCAAAGGUUGGUUAAAGCAUUUACCAGUAGGAGAGAGAUAACUCUGUCAUGAUGUCCGGUGAGAGUUGCUUCGCGGAAUACCUUGUUAUCAUCUAAGAUCAGAAUUAUUUAGGGUAUGGUUAGCAUGCAUCAGAGUUGUGCGGGACAGUGAGAAUUGUGUCUCCUUUGAAAGUUGAAGUUUCCCAGUGAAAUUUAUGGAGGACUCUUUGCAGAGAAAUGCUGGAAUUAUGUCUUGAGCUUUCUGUACAGUGGUGGGGCAUUUGACAUUGAUGCUAUUCAUAUGCAAUCAAAAUGAUACGUUCAUCAUUUCAAGGAGCGUUCUACCUGCACCAAUGAGAAGUGCAUCUAGCCAAACUGGAGUUCCAGACAGAGGACAUGAACAAUGAAUACUCGAGGGAAAUUGAAAUAUGGAUUACAUAUAUCCUUAUCUAAAUAUUUCUUCGGAGUGAUCUUAUAUCAGUUCCUAGAGUCCAUG